rnacentral:rRNA from 1 species
ACUGCAAGUCGAGCGAANGACGAGGAGCUUGCUCCUCUGACGUUAGCGGCGGACGGGUGAGUAACACGUGGAUAACCUACCUAUAAGACUGGGAUAACUUCGGGAAACCGGAGCUAAUACCGGAUAAUAUAUUGAACCGCAUGGUUCAAUAGUGAAAGACGGUUUUGCUGUCACUUAUAGAUGGAUCCGCGCCGCAUUAGCUAGUUGGUAAGGUAACGGCUUACCAAGGCAACGAUGCGUAGCCGACCUGAGAGGGUGAUCGGCCACACUGGAACUGAGACACGGUCCAGACUCCUACGGGAGGCAGCAGUAGGGAAUCUUCCGCAAUGGGCGAAAGCCUGACGGAGCAACGCCGCGUGAGUGAUGAAGGUCUUCGGAUCGUAAAACUCUGUUAUUAGGGAAGAACAAAUGUGUAAGUAACUAUGCACGUCUUGACGGUACCUAAUCAGAAAGCCACGGCUAACUACGUGCCAGCAGCCGCGGUAAUACGUAGGUGGCAAGCGUUAUCCGGAAUUAUUGGGCGUAAAGCGCGCGUAGGCGGUUUUUUAAGUCUGAUGUGAAAGCCCACGGCUCAACCGUGGAGGGUCAUUGGAAACUGGAAAACUUGAGUGCAGAAGAGGAAAGUGGAAUUCCAUGUGUAGCGGUGAAAUGCGCAGAGAUAUGGAGGAACACCAGUGGCGAAGGCGACUUUCUGGUCUGUAACUGACGCUGAUGUGCGAAAGCGUGGGGAUCAAACAGGAUUAGAUACCCUGGUAGUCCACGCCGUAAACGAUGAGUGCUAAGUGUUAAGGGGGUUUCCGCCCCUUAGUGCUGCAGCUAACGCAUUAAGCACUCCGCCUGGGGAGUACGACCGCAAGGUUGAAACUCAAAGGAAUUGACGGGGACCCGCACAAGCGGUGGAGCAUGUGGUUUAAUUCGAAGCAACGCGAAGAACCUUACCAAAUCUUGACAUCCUCUGACCCCUCUAGAGAUAGAGUUUUCCCCUUCGGGGGACAGAGUGACAGGUGGUGCAUGGUUGUCGUCAGCUCGUGUCGUGAGAUGUUGGGUUAAGUCCCGCAACGAGCGCAACCCUUAAGCUUAGUUGCCAUCAUUAAGUUGGGCACUCUAAGUUGACUGCCGGUGACAAACCGGAAGGAAGGUGGGGAUGACGUCAAAUCAUCAUGCCCCUUAUGAUUUGG